rnacentral:rRNA from 1 species
GAUGAACGCUGGCGGCGUGCUUAACACAUGCAAGUCGAACGGUGAAGGCGGAGCUUGCUCUGCUGGAUCAGUGGCGAACGGGUGAGUAACACGUGAGCAAUCUGCCCCUGACUCUGGGAUAAGCGCUGGAAACGGCGUCUAAUACUGGAUACGAGCUGCGAAGGCAUCUUCAGCAGCUGGAAAGAAUUACGGUCAGGGAUGAGCUCGCGGCCUAUCAGCUUGUUGGUGAGGUAAUGGCUCACCAAGGCGUCGACGGGUAGCCGGCCUGAGAGGGUGACCGGCCACACUGGGACUGAGAAACGGCCCAGACUCCUACGGGAGGCAGCAGUGGGGAAUAUUGCACAAUGGGCGAAAGCCUGAUGCAGCAACGCCGCGUGAGGGACGACGGCCUUCGGGUUGUAAACCUCUUUUAGCAGGGAAGAAGCGAAAGUGACGGUACCUGCAGAAAAAGCGCCGGCUAACUACGUG